rnacentral:rRNA from 1 species
CUUUGGGUAAUGAGGAUGGCGGACGGGUGAGUAACGCGUAAGGAACUUGCCUCUUGGACUGGGACAACUGUUGGAAACGACAGCUAAUACCAGAUAUUAUGAGAUUCUCGCAUGAGAAACUUAUGAAAGCUAUAUGCGCCAAGAGAGAGCCUUGCGUUCCAUUAGCUAGUUGGUGGGGUAACGGCCCACCAAGGCGACGAUGGAUAGCCGGCCUGAGAGGGUGAACGGCCACAAGGGGACUGAGACACGGCCCUUACUCCUACGGGAGGCAGCAGUGGGGAAUAUUGGACAAUGGGCCACAAGCCUGAUCCAGCAAUUCUGUGUGCACGAUGAAGGUCUUCGGAUUGUAAAGUGCUUUCAGUUGGGAAGAAGAAAGUGACGGUACCAACAGAAGAAGCGACGGCUAAAUACGUGCCAGCAGCCGCGGUAAUACGUAUGUCGCAAGCGUUAUCCGGAUUUAUUGGGCGUAAAGCGCGUCUAGGCGGAAAAAUAAGUCUGAUGUUAAAAUGCGGGGCUCAACUCCGUAUUGCGUUGGAAACUGUUUUUCUAGAGUACUGGAGAGGUGGGCGGAACUACAAGUGUAGAGGUGAAAUUCGUAGAUAUUUGUAGGAAUGCCGAUGGAGAAGUCAGCUCACUGGACAGAUACUGACGCUGA